rnacentral:rRNA from 1 species
AUUGAACGCUGGCGGCAGGCCUAACACAUGCAAGUCGAGCGGAUGAAGGGAGCUUGCUCCUGUAUUCAGCGGCGGACGGGUGAGUAAUGCCUAGGAAUCUGCCUGGUAGUGGGGGAUAACGUCCGGAAACGGGCGCUAAUACCGCAUACGUCCUGAGGGAGAAAGUGGGGGAUCUUCGGACCUCACGCUAUCAGAUGAGCCUAGGUCGGAUUAGCUAGUUGGUAGGGUAAAGGCCUACCAAGGCGACGAUCCGUAACUGGUCUGAGAGGAUGAUCAGUCACACUGGAACUGAGACACGGUCCAGACUCCUACGGGAGGCAGCAGUGGGGAAUAUUGGACAAUGGGCGAAAGCCUGAUCCAGCCAUGCCGCGUGUGUGAAGAAGGUCUUCGGAUUGUAAAGCACUUUAAGUUGGGAGGAAGGGCAGUAAGUUAAUACCUUGCUGUUUUGACGUUACCAAAAGAAUAAGCACCGGCUAACUUCGUG